ACUCUAGAGAUAGAGUCUUCCCCUUCGGGGGACAAAGUGACAGGUGGUGCAUGGUUGUCGUCAGCUCGUGUCGUGAGAUGUUGGGUUAAGUCCCGCAACGAGCGCAACCCUUAAGCUUAGUUGCCAGCAUUAAGUUGGGCACUCUAAGUUGACUGCCGGUGACAAACCGGAGGAAGGUGGGGAUGACGUCAAAUCAUCAUGCCCCUUAUGAUUUGGGCUACACACGUGCUACAAUGGACAAUACAAAGGGCAGCUAAACCGCGAGGUCAUGCAAAUCCCAUAAAGUUGUUCUCAGUUCGGAUUGUAGUCUGCAACUCGACUACAUGAAGCUGGAAUCGCUAGUAAUCGUAGAUCAGCAUGCUACGGUGAAUACGUUCCCGGGUCUUGUACACACCGCCCGUCACACCACGAGAGUCUGUAACACCCGAAGCCGGUGGAGUAACCAUUUAUGGAGCUAGCCGUCGAAGGUGGGACAAAUGAUUGGGGUGAAGUCGUAACAAGGUAGCCGUAUCGGAAGG
rnacentral:rRNA from 1 species